GGAGUGGGCGAGGUGAUCGCUGGGCCGAUUUGAACCUGACAGAUCGGCCGAGAGGAAAGUCCGAACUGGGCAGGGCACGGUGGUUGCUAACAGCAACCCGGCGCGAGCCGAGGGAUAGUGCCACAGAAAAUAUACCGCCGGUAUCAAGACCACGUGACUUGAUAUAGGUAAGGGUGAAAUGGUGCGGUAAGAGCGCACCGCGAACACGGGUGAUCGUGUCGGCAUGGUAAACCCCACCGCCAGCAAGCCCAAAUAGGCAGCGAGAGGUGGCCCGCCUCGUUUGAGCUGCGGGUAGGGUGCUCGAGCAGCCUGGCGACAGGCUGCCCAGAUGAAUGAUCGCCGUCCGCCUCGGCGGAUAACAGAAUUCGGCUUAUUCGCCCGCUCCGCUU
rnacentral:RNase_P_RNA from 1 species